rnacentral:rRNA from 1 species
GAUGAACGCUGGCGGCGUGCCUAAUACAUGCAAGUCGAGCGAACGGACGAGAAGCUUGCUUCUCUGAUGUUAGCGGCGGACGGGUGAGUAACACGUGGAUAACCUACCUAUAAGACUGGGAUAACUUCGGGAAACCGGAGCUAAUACCGGAUAAUAUUUUGAACCGCAUGGUUCAAAAGUGAAAGACGGUCUUGCUGUCACUUAUAGAUGGAUCCGCGCUGCAUUAGCUAGUUGGUAAGGUAACGGCUUACCAAGGCAACGAUGCAUAGCCGACCUGAGAGCGUGAUCGGCCACACUGGAACUGAGACACGGUCCAGACUCCUACGGGAGGCAGCAGUAGGGAAUCUUCCGCAAUGGGCGAAAGCCUGACGGAGCACCGCCGCGUGAGUGAUGAAGGUCUUCGGAUCGUAAAACUCUGUUAUUAGGGAAGAACAUAUGUGUAAGUAACUGUGCACAUCUUGACGGUACCUAAUCAGAAAGCCACGGCUAACUACGUG